UGGGGAAUAUUGCACAAUGGGCGCAAGCCUGAUGCAGCGACGCCGCGUGAGGGAUGACGGCCUUCGGGUUGUAAACCUCUUUCAAUAGGGACGAAGCGCAAGUGACGGUACCUAUAGAAGAAGGACCGGCCAACUACGUGCCAGCAGCCGCGGUAAUACGUAGGGUCCGAGCGUUGUCCGGAAUUACUGGGCGUAAAGAGCUCGUAGGUGGUUUGUCGCGUUGUUCGUGAAAACUCACAGCUUAACUGUGGGCGUGCGGGCGAUACGGGCAGACUAGAGUACUGCAGGGGAGACUGGAAUUCCUGGUGUAGCGGUGGAAUGCGCAGAUAUCAGGAGGAACACCGGUGGCGAAGGCGGGUCUCUGGGCAGUAACUGACGCUGAGGAGCGAAAGCGUGGGGAGCGAACAGGAUUAGAUACCCUGGUAGUCCACGCCGUAAACGGUGGGUACUAGGUGUGGGUUUCCUUCCUUGGGAUCCGUGCCGUAGCUAACGCAUUAAGUACCCCGCCUGGGGAGUACGGCCGCAAGGCUAAACUCAAAUGAAUUGACGGGGUCAUAGCUG
rnacentral:rRNA from 1 species